UGAAGACAUAAUGACAGUAGCAGAAUUAGAAUCGAUAGGACUUUUCCUUCAUAGCUUUUUCUUUAUGUUCUCGACAAUUUCCUCUUACUAGGAUUUCUGUCUCUUUGUACAACAAUUGCCUGUUUAUAGGCCCUCUUUCAAAAUCAAUACAAUUUUAUUUCCAAAAAGAUGCUUUUGCUUUACUUUUUCUGUUUUGUUUGCAUA
rnacentral:lncRNA from 1 species